rnacentral:rRNA from 1 species
GACGAACGCUGGCGGCGUGCUUAACACAUGCAAGUCGAACGGAAAGGCCCUGCUUUUGUGGUGUGCUCGAGUGGCGAACGGGUGAGUAACACGUGAGUAACCUGCCCUUGACUUUGGGAUAACUUCAGGAAACUGGGGCUAAUACCGGAUAGGAGCUCCUGCUGCAUGGUGGGGGUUGGAAAGUUUCGGCGGUUGGGGAUGGACUCGCGGCUUAUGAGCUUGUUGGGCGGGUAGUGGCUUACCAAGGCUUUGACGGGUAGCCGGCCUGGGAGGGGGGACGGCGACCAUGCGCCUGCGAUAGGCACCAGUAGCCUACCGGCCGCAGUAGUCGGGAGUAUUGCGCAGCAGCCCGGCGUCAGAUGUGGCGGCGCCCCGAGCGGGAUGCUGGGCUACGAGUUAAGAACAGAUGUGGAAGGAGCCGAAGCCAGCGUGACGGUACUUAAUAAGAAAGCAACGGCUAACUACGUG